CCCCGUCGGGCCCUCCUCUCUGAAAUUCCUCAGGGGUCCCCGCAGCACCCGGAAGAAAGUUCCGCUGCUCAGGCCAGGCACCCAGCCCUUUAUGACCAGCACCUGGAGAGAAUUAAAUACACUUGGUGGAGGCCGGAAUCCCAGGAACCCCUUGGCGGAGCGCGGGGUGGGGCGACUGCAGGCCUCUGUCCUCAGACUCGGGGGUCUCCCCUGGGCCCGGCUCCCCGGGCAGGUCCCCCCCUCACCCCCGCCGCCCUCCUCUUGUCCUUGGCCGUUGCCACUAGGUCCUUGCUUUCCUGGGUCCCUCGUCCUUCAUUCAGGACGGAAGGUGUUGGGUGCGGAUUUUGCUUCUGGAUCCACAGUAUCCGAAGGGAAUUCGAGACGAACACUUUCAUUUCAAAACAAUUUUUUUUGAAUACUUUCAUUUUUAAGGGGUUUUGUUGCCCGGAGCCACAGGGCACUCGGCAAAGCUACAGCAGUGUCCCUAGCUACCCGAUGCUCACUGCCAGCUGGUCUGCGUUUUCGUGUCUUGCUCGCAGAGCAGCUGCAUUCUGUACCCUAAGUUGGGGUUUUCCUUGACCAGCUGCCAAGUGAGCCCCCAGACUCCCCCUUAGGUCCUGCCCGCCAGGCCUGGGUGCUGGCAGCCACAUCUUGGCAUUUAGAGGCAUCUUCCGACAGUUAUUUGAGGCUCUCAUUAGGAGCAGAGAGGUGGGGGCCUAUUGCCGACGGGCCCCAGGACGGCCGCAGGUGGGCGACACGUGCGCGGUGGCCUGGAUGCUAAGGACCCAGCGCUGCAAGUAAAGGGAAGGAGGGGGGCCCUGGGUCGGCGGGGAGGCCCGGGAGAAGGAGCCACAGUGCCCUGUCACCGGCCCGGGGGAGGGGGACCAGCCGGGCCGCAGGGUGACGAAGGCCGCGGCGUCCCCUUGCAGGGACCGCAGGCCACGGGGUGAAGCCAGUGUGCAGCCGUCAGGCCCCGCAGGCGGCGGACAGAAGCUCGACGCCCUUCGCAGAUUGGUUCACACCUGAAUCCCGGGGGGUAGAGGGGCAGAGCUGGCCGGCCCGGGACCUGCCCCCAGGGACCCGGGGAACCGGGACCUGUGGUCGUCGUGGGGAAUCCAGGCGGGGCCACGGGGCCUCGGGCCUGAGCUGAGCCCGCUCCAUGCGCCCCUCGGCACCCCGGGACAGCUGCAUCUCUUCCAGGUGCACACGGCAAUUUAUUUGACCUUUUUUUUGGGGGGGGGAGCCAAUAUAGGAACUUUAUUAUCCUUGAAUUUCAGCUUUAUUGAAGUAUGAUUGAAUUAUUCAAACUCUCUGGGUGUUUCCUCAUUUGUAAAAUGGGGCAAUGCAUGCAUGUCAUCGGCAUCUGUGGACGGUGAAUGUUCGGGUCCACGGUGUUCAGAAAGUGGCACCUGUUGGGACCAAGCAGCGUCAUGUUUGGAAACCGGGAGGCCUACGUUCCCGUGAGUGUGGCGGAGGCCCCGCAUUCGAGCGGUUUCCGGGGCAGUGAUGAUCACCUGAGCUUCCCUUUCCUUAUCGGUAAAAAGGAGAAAAUGGUUCCCGUGGGGCCUUCCCUUCUCGUAAGCCCGUGUGGAGGAUUCGGGGGGCGGUGGGUGCCAGAGGCUCCGGGAGCCCUCCAGCGCUGGGGACACACGGCGACUUCCCGCUGGCCCAGGCGGGUUCCUGUCCGUGCAGGGCCGAUCAGCGUCGCUCUGACGUUCCUGGGACACAAGCCGCACGCUCCUGCCUCAGGGCCUUUGCACUUGGUGGUUUCCUCUGCCCGAGAUCGUCUCCGCUUGUGCCCGGGCCCAGGCCGGCUCCGUGUCCCUCGGCUCUGCUCAGCGCCUCCCGGACCGGCUUCUUCUGAUCAGCACCCGCCUCCCAGCCCCCACCCCGGUUUCUUCUGACGUGGUCGCCAGGGUCCGUUUCAUGUUCCGUUGUCAUCUGGCCCCAGUCACCGGGACGCACGAUCCACAAGGGGACAGACGCGUCCGUUCUUCCAUCUUUUAUUCCUAGUGUGUGGCGUGUAUCAGGCACUGAGUACCGUCUGCCCAACGACGGCCGCGGGAGUCAAGGCCUCGUGACUCGGCAAGCGACCGAAGACGUUAGGGCUGUAUUUCCUUUUUUUUUUUUUAAUUUUGUUUUUUGUAUUUCAUCCCCUUUGCAGCCCCCCUCCACCGGGCCGCGGGGUGCACGUGAGGGUCACGGCCCAGCCCACGCUUACCCUGGUCCCGCGUGGGCUCAGCGAAUUUCGUCUUCAGCUCUCCCCGGUCCCAAACACAUCCUCGUGACGAGACUUGAAAGGUGUAAAGACUCGUGCGACGCCAGUCACUAUCCGUCAGCCUCGACUACAGAGCAUAGUGCUGUCUCGCAUUUUGGGAACAGAGCUUAACUUCUGCCUUUGCCGACAUAGUUCACAGGAGUUAUUUUUGCUCCCCAGACACCAACCUGCCUUUUCUCGGAGUCGAAUCAGGUCACAGACCGGCAGCAUCUAGACAGCACCCCGGGGCGCCCGGGUGGCUCCGUAGGUUAAGCGUCCACCCCUUGAUUUCGGCUCAGGUCUUGAUCUCAGGACCGGUAGUUCAGGCCGCACGUUGGGCCGCACCGCGUGGAGGCUUCUUAAAAAACAACAAAAGCAGCACAGCCUGGUUCUCAACGACGGAAUCCAGUUUGGAGAAAUUGCAUCAGUGAAAAAAAUUAUGUGUCUGACUUCCAGCCACUCGACAGUCGGAUGCUGUUGGGUCUGAACCCGUAUUCCUUCGUCUCUGAGACCCAGAGAAUCCUCCUUGGGUCCCGUGAAGAGCGGCUCAGCCAACACCGGAGUACGCGCGGCACAGCGCUCAGGCCCUGUUUGUUUCCCGGCCUCCUCCUCCUCCUCCUCCUCCUCCUCCAGAGGCCUGCGGGCCCGCCGGGGCUGCCGUCGGGGGAACGGGGUCGGGGAGGCCUGAAGGUCGACCAGUGAGAGCUGCCAGCGCGUCAGGGCCUAGAGGCUGGCUCCCCGGAGUGCUCAGCGGACGCGUGUGGUGCUGUUCUUCGCAGGAUGUGGAAACACGGCCUGUUCCUUCCAUAUGUGGCACCGAGAGGCUCCCACCGCGCCGCACCGCUCAGCGUCGCCUGGGGGAGGAGGCACGACGAGCAUCGUGGACGUGCGGCGCUGCCGUGGAUUAUUCGCUCGGCGGACGACGUCCGACAGACCCUUGCUGACCGCCUGGCUUCCUGACACUUCCGUUUGCGUCCGACCCGUCGAGCAGCGACCCCGGACGCCCUCUCCUGACGAGGAGGGUCAGUUACCCUUGAAGAGGCUCAAGCCUGCAGAUUCCUGGUAUAAGGAAGAGCUCGGAGCGAGUGGGCCGGCCACAGCGUCAGGGUGAGCAGGAACCUUGUGCGUCAUGUGAUAGGGGCUCCCUCUCGUCUCACCCUCCCCACCUGACGCCCGGGAGCCGCGAUCUCUAAACUCGUAGAACCUAAGGUUGAAAAGGACAAACUCGGGGAUCCCUGGGUGGCGCAGCGGUUUGGCGCCUGCCUUUGGCCCAGGGCGCGAUCCUGGAGACCCGGGAUCGAAUCCCACGUCGGGCUCCCUGCAUGGAGCCUGCU